GAGGGUAUAGCUCAGUGGUAGAGCGUGUGCUUAGCAUGCACGAGGUCCUGGGUUCAAUCCCAGUACCUCCA
rnacentral:tRNA from 1 species